CAAGCGAUCACGUGAGGCACAGCAUGUGCAUUGUGAAAGAGGGAGCUCAGCUGUGGUUUUAAAGAUCUGACAGCGGAACAGUCUUGGUCAAACACAAGAUCUGGUCCUCCUCCCGGCUUCAAAAUGGCGCCAAUUUGUCUCUGGUUGCACCAAUCCAGCCUCCCUACACAGCCAGCAGCAGCGACACAGCACCAUCACAAACACGCGUGAUUCAAGAAGCCCAAAUCCGAAAAAAUGGUGCAACAGCGACUCCAGCAGGAUUUCUCAAAACAUUUUUAAUGAGAUACGGGUGUAAAUUAACUUCGCAGCAAACAACCCGAGAGCAGUUUAUUUUGAGGACCGCUGCUUUCAUGAAAGCAUAAAAAAACGACAAAACGAAAACAUACAACGUGGAUAAGAAUGACACAGUGCCUGUAGUACAUUACGACAUAUGACAACACCCACAGUAAAAUAGAGCGAACUACGUAAAAUUACAGUAGUUACUCUAAAGGAAAGGAAUGUGAAUUCGGAAUGUGUUUAUUUUGCACAUGGCAGCAAUUUUGUUAAUUUUGCAACAUUUUAGUUUGUUCUGAUAGUGGAACAUCCAUCAACAUAAUAAAGGGACACAGUCGUGUGUGCAAACGGAUCCAA